GACGAACGCUGGCGGCGUGCUUAACACAUGCAAGUCGAACGGUGAUGCUCCAGCUUGCUGGCGUGGAUCAGUGGCGAACGGGUGAGUAACACGUGAGCAACCCGCCCCAGACUCUGGAAUAAGCGCUGGAAACGGCGUCUAAUACUGGAUACGAAACUGGCCCGCAUGGGCAUGGUUUGGAAAGUUUUUCGGUUUGGGAUGGGCUCGCGGCCUAUCAGCUUGUUGGUGAGGUAAUGGCUCACCAAGGCGACGACGGGUAGCCGGCCUGAGAGGGCGACCGGCCACACUGGGACUGAGACACGGCCCAGACUCCUACGGGAGGCAGCAGUGGGGAAUAUUGCACAAUGGGCGAAAGCCUGAUGCAGCGACGCCGCGUGAGGGAUGACGGCCUUCGGGUUGUAAACCUCUUUCAGCAGGGAAGAAGCGAAAGUGACGGUACCUGCAGAAGAAGCACCGGCUAACUACGUG
rnacentral:rRNA from 1 species